GCUGUUAUUGUGUCGCGUCGGACAACAUUUUCGCUUUCAGUUACGAAUUUGUCGCUGGAAGACUGUCAAGGAGGGAAGAGAUCAGAGCUCAUGAAGAAAAGUUGCACACAAGACCUGGAACCUCUGCUUAACAGCAAGAUGGGCCUUCAGGCGUUCUACUGGUUCCUCCGUUCAGACAGGAGAAUCUGGAGUUUUGUUUGGCAUGUGAAGAUUACAAGAACUCCUCAGGAUCUAAACUGACAGCAAAAGCCCAAAGCAUCUACAACCAGUUCAUCAACCCUGAUGCACCUCAUGAGGUGAAUUUGAGACCCGUGAAGCAUUAAUGAUGUGAUGAAUGAACCUACGACAGACACAUUUGAUGAAGCUCAGCACCGGAUCUUCUCUCUCAUGGCUAAAGAUUCAUUCCCACAUUUUCUGCAUUCUUCAUAUAGUCAACAGUCACUCAAAGGUCUGCGAGACACAGCCUGCUAUUGAACCUGUUGGUUCGUAGACUAGUUAAACAGCCAGUUGACAUGCAUGAACCACUGUCAGGUAGGAUGUAGUUGCAUUUAUGUACAUUAAGAACGUGUUAGGUACAGAAUAGCGUAGUCCAGUGUCAGAAAUUAAUUAAUAGAAAUAAAAUUCAAAAUGUAGGGGCAAAAAAUGCCCUCAUAAUAUAUGCCCUCUUAACAAAAUAUGAGUUGAUGCUGAUUUACAUUAACCCCUUAUACUCUGGUGCAUUUUUGGGCUGCCGCCUGCAAUUUUUCACACUCGAAUUUAAAAGCUCACCAUUCACACACACACUGUGGACUAAUUGCAAAAAAAUUUGUCUAAUUUUUCAGAGAACCCCCCAAAUAAUAAUAAAAAAAUACUCUAAUUAUUCAUAAGUAACACUGAAUGUUUAGACUCUUAUGAUAAACAGAUUUUGUCGUUGUCGUCCUAACUUUGUAAACAUGUAAUUCUGGUUCUGUUCAGUCUACAUCACUUUAAAAAGUCUCACUUUAUUCCACUAUGUGGCAGUAAUCACAUUCCAUCACAAUAUACAGAUCUGAAAUGUAGGUGGCGCUUUAAUGUAUUUUAGCCCUCACAGAUGUGUUCGUCCAUAGACAUUCAGUGUAAUUUUCAGUUCAAGCACCACCCUCAUUGUUUCAUUGAAUAUCUCGGCCUCUGAGUGGACUAGAAGCUCAAUCUAGUAACUCAUUAGAAAGCUGAGAUCCUCCCCUUAGCGAUGAUAUAUCAUUUUAUCUUCAAUAGUUGAAAACAUAUUUUAUGAUUAUUUGUUUUGCAUGCUUUUCCUUCUGAAUGGCAUAUUUUGUUCUUGACAUAUAAGAUAUAUCAUUAGAUUAUUCACACAAGCAAGCUCACAGACAAGUAAAAAAUGGCUCAUCUUUUUUUUUUUUUUUUUUUUAAGAGAACUUCCACAGGUAAAAGCAGAUAUAAAAUGUUUGGCUACUUGUAGCUUACAGCAGCAGUUAUCGGAGCAUUAAAGAGACGUUUGUAUUUGAUGACUUACAGAAAUCAUAUUUCACUUUGUGAUUAUUUUGAAAAUCUUUUGAACUGUGGUGUUUAGGGCAACAAAAUAAACUGUACAGUCACAUUCCUGAGAAUGAGAGCUUUCAUUUGAUAUAUGACUUGUCCAUUUAUGUGCUAUCUGAGGGAUUUUUAUAUAAAUAUUUCUACCCUAUGACCUCUAGGGGGCGCUACUUUUCAAUGCAAAUGAUUUGAGGCCGUAUUUUGUUAUUUUAAAAACAUAAAUGCAGAAGUGAUGGUUAUCUAUGAAAAGUUCAGAUUCUAAGCCUUCAAAUGAUACCUCAUAUACCUAACUUAUGGAUACGGAGACUUUAACGUUUCAAGCGUAAACUUUUUUCGCAAUAUAGUGCCCCCCCUUUGGCCCACCAGCGGGUCCAAUAGAGUUUACAAACUUACUGAAGUUGGAAUUUACAUUAACUAAUUAAAGGUGCUGUAAACUAUUUUUUUUAUAGAAUGGUAUGCAUAAAGUGUUCCUUUUUCCUUAAAGACAUCACUUAAAUAAAUCCCUCACCGGUCUCUAACAGCACUAGACUGUGUAAACAGCAAACAAAAUGUGACCACAGUGAUUUUCAAUGCCAAUCAGAAGAAUUUGAUGUGCUUUUUGUCCGUCAAUCAUUUUGCGUUUUCUCAAAGUGUAGCUGUUGAAGCAGUUCAUUCAGGUUUAAUGUCAUAUUUAGAUUCAUAACAGUUGUCAGCUGAUGGCACUAUUUAUCUCCUGAUGUUUGACAACCGUUGAGAAGACAGAGCUAGAAAGACUUUGGAGAAGGUGACGGUCUCAACUCUAUCUUUGUAGGGUGGGGUUUUGGAAAUAGGGGGCGUGUCUAUUUUAAUGGCUCAGUCUGGUGGAAGUUCCAGAACAGCUAAAAUGGCUUACAGAACCUUUAAGCCAGAGACUAUUUAGCAGAGAUGGGCAACUUCUAUAAAAUGAAUGGGAGAAAUUGGAACACCUGUAGAAGGGAACGGAUGUAGAAAGGAAGUCCCGCCUUACAGGUAAAAGAGCCAAUCACCUUCUGAAUUUAAAUGUGUUUUGAUCAUAAUCUUGACCCACCGUUUUGAAGAUUUCGAUGUUCCCCCAUUCAACUAGAUAGGAGUUGCACUGUUAUGAUUGGAAAUAGCUUCCCGGGAGCGUUCCAAAGAUGGCCGCCAGUGU